rnacentral:lncRNA from 1 species
GAUCAUUUCACCUUCUUUGUCUCACGAACUUUCCCUCCAUGUUAAUAAUAAUAAUAAAGCCUGCCCCGUUUUAAGUGUUUUAACCCUUGAUCACUGAUACCCUGUCCGACUGACGUAGGGCCCCGUAACGUAUGUCAAGGCUCUGCCUAAAUUCGUUGGGGUUCUGUCUCGUGACGUAGGGAUAAAGUAGAAUUGGGUCACUAUACUUAAUGUGAGUACACUAUAUAAUUUAUUAAAUAAUCCAGGAGUUGUACCCAAAAUAUAACAACUUUCCUAAAACACCCAUGACACCCCUACACUUCCUAAAAUACAUCCCGUAUGGGAAAACUAAACCCGAAAUAUAAUAUAGCAUUGAAAAUAAUGGGAAACCAGAAAAAGUAAGUUGAGGCGGGCCGCGUAGACCCACCCCAAACUUAACGCGGGUCGUGUGAGGGUGUAACUGGACUCCGCUGAAUUCUUUAGUUCAUGCGGGCCACGUAAGGCCACACCCUUAGUUUAUGCGGGCCGCGAGGGUCCCAAUUAGUGGCGCAGCCCGGUGAUGACACGUGUCAUCAUCGUGGCAAGGCUAGAUCAUGACCAGGACAAGCUACGCGUUGACCCAGUAUUGAAGCGGGCCGCGUAAGCCUUGCCUGUUCUUUACGCGGGCCGCGUGGGAACCAGUUUCAGCAACUAUAUAAGGAACGCAUCGGAUUUCAAUUCAGUUCGCUCAUUUCUCAAUUCUCAAUCACAAUUUCUGUAGAAGGCUUAUUAUACUCGGGUAUUAUGCCCCCUAAUUAGCGAAGCUCUGCCUCGUUACUAUAACCAGGGAAUCACAAAGGAAAGCCCUAUAAUAGCAAUGUGAGUUGAUCCUUCUUUUUAUGAACUCAUUUUUGUAACUUAGUGUGAAGCCAAUAAAAGCCAGCUGGAGAGCACUGAAGGCUUGGAAAAGUGGCUAUAAAGUUACCUAAAAUAAAAUAGAGGUUUUUAUUAAUUAAAAUAGGAUUUAUUCCUAUGAAAGUGUGUAUACUGAAAACUUGGGUUUUACCCAUGUGUUUAAUAUUAUGAAAAUAUGGUGGUUUUACUCUGAUAAAAAUAUUUCCUAACUACGGUCCUGAUGAAAAAAUUCCGCUGCCAAAUUAGACAAUACACGAUACCACCGAAACUGGCUCACGGCCGCCCGUUCCUGAGGGGUCGGGGGUUGUGACAGAAGGUGGUAUCAGAGCUAUGCCACUGGCUCAAGCCAAAGAAGUGUUCUGCUGACACUUAAGUUUUAAAUUCUGUGUUAGGAAAUUAAUAUAACAAUUUAUGUGUUAUUCUGUGUAGAUGAAUCUUAAUAUUUAUAUUAUGAUUUUUAUGUUUUGAGUCCAGAGUAUGAGUAACCAAUAUGACUAGACGUACCCAUAGGCUACCUCGGCAGAUGUGUUAUACUACACUCUUAUACAAUUAGUAACUUAAGGUAUCACCUUGAGUGGGAUCUCUUCUUAAAUAAAUGAAUGUACCGUAAUAUAUAUACAUAUAUAUGUGUGUAUAUACUACUAUGUGUAUAUCAACCUUACUAGGAAAUAUUAAUACACGUUCAUUUUGUAAAAAUAUUCAUAGAUCAUGGAUAUAAAUUUUGGAUAUUAAAUCUAAAAUCAUAAUUUAUGGUAAAUUUACAUAAGAAAUUGAAUAAUAUUAUGUAUCCACCUUAAAUAAAUAAAAGUAUGUUAUUUUAAGUUGAUUCAUAGACUUCAUGAUCUAUACUAUGAUCUUCCUUAUGAAUGGUGGUAUAGAUUAUGGUAAAUUCCUGAAUUGACCUUAAAUCCAGAAAUCGUGUUAAUAUAUUGUAUGUAAAAUAAUAUACACGUUGUAGUAUAGUAUACUUCUAAUAAACAUACGUUAUAAUACACUAUUAAAAGAAACGGGUCUGAUGGUUUGUACAAUCGGUAUAAAAGAGAGUUAAUAGUUAAUGUUUUUUAGAAGUAAAAAUAAGGGAACCUCAUUUCAACCAAAUCCCUCAGGAUACUCAGCAGAUACUGAGAAGGGAAUUUUUUUUUAUUAUUCAUAAGGUAUAGUCUGAGAAACUAUUAC